rnacentral:rRNA from 1 species
UACGUAGGGGGGCAAGCGUUGUCCGGAAUCAUUGGGCGUAAAGAGCGUGUAGGCGGCUCGGUAAGUCCGCUGUGAAAGUCCAGGGCUCAACCCUGGAAUGCCGGUGGAAACUGUCGAGCUCGAGUCCGGAAGAGGCGAGUGGAAUUCCUGGUGUAGCGGUGAAAUGCGCAGAUAUCAGGAGGAACACCAGUGGCGAAGGCGGCACUCUGGGCCAGUACUGACACUGAGGAGCGAAAGCGUGGGGAGCGAACAGGA